UAGAAGUAAAGUGUAUUUCACGUGCAAGUUUUUUUAUUUUAAAACUGCUUAAUCAUUUGAAAUGGAUUGACAUUGAAAUUUUACCUGGUCCAGCAGCUGAGUUUAAACGACCUGUCAGCGAGCCUGGAUCAUUUGAUACGCACGGUGACCGGAAGCAUUUCCGUGAUCGACAUCGCACCAACCAAAUCCAUGCAUCAUUUGAUCAGGCACAGCUCCUGCUUGCUGAUAAAGCCUUAUCUGAAUUAGAUUGUCUUCUGACAGACAGACUCAGGAUAAUCCUCUGCUUCCUCAGUAAAUCUCCUAUAACUGAAGAAACUACAUGAAAAUGAAACAGCCGCCAAGGUGAUGUUCAGCAUAAUGUGGUAAGAUAUUGAGAUAAUCACAGAGAGCCCGAGUAAUCACUGUUUCCCGGGUGUCAUCAUAAUUGCAGUGGCUGGUUCCUUUCGAUUGAGCAGGCACCCGUGGAACUGCAGAAUGCCAAUGCAUGAAUAAAUGAGAAGUUCACCCAUUGGAAUGAAAGUUGCCUGCUGACUAUCUCGCUUGAAGAAACUAUGAAGCCAGAAUUGGGAAUUGAGUAAGUUUUAUAUGUCUGGUAACAGCAUAUGAGAGAGAGAGAAGGCAUAUGGAUUCAUGACAUUGACUGGAUGGCUUGCUCUCUCUUUUUCUGCUUUUCUCUCCGCCCAUCAAAAAUAACAUGCAGUGAUGGAACAGAUUGGAGAGUCAUCCAUUGACUGAGAAGUCAGAAACAUCUAUAAGUUUUCCAAUGAUGAGGAUGCAAGCUAUAUAUCAAACAACAUCUUAGGUUGAAGCCCAGCACUGCAAAGAUUUCAAGGAUCUUUAAAGCUGCUUAUUCCUGUUUUUCCUUUUUAUACAAGACACUCUCCUCUUCAUAAACUGUUUAGUUGUAUCUGUGCACGUGUUUGAUGCUAUGUCCUUUUACUUUUCUUGGGAGUAAUA